CCUUGACAUCCAGAGAACUUAGCAGAGAUGCUUUGGUGCCUUCGGGAACUCUGAGACAGGUGCUGCAUGGCUGUCGUUAGCUCGUGUUGUGAAAUGUUGGGUUAAGUCCCGNAACGAGCGCAACCCUUAUCCUUUGUUGCCAGCGGUUCGGCCGGGAACUCAAAGGAGACUGCCGGUGAUAAACCGGAGGAAGGUGGGGAUGACGUCAAGUCAUCAUGGCCCUUACGGCCAGGGCUACACACGUGCUACAAUGGCGCAUACAAAGAGAAGCGACCUCGCGAGAGCAAGCGGACCUCAUAAAGUGCGUCGUAGUCCGGAUUGGAGUCUGCAACUCGACUCCAUGAAGUCGGAAUCGCUAGUAAUCGUAGAUCAGAAUGCUACGGUGAAUACGUUCCCGGGCCUUGUACACACCGCCCGUCACACCAUGGGAGUGGGUUGCAAAAGAAGUAGGUAGCUUAACCUUCGGGAGGGCGCUUACCACUUUGUGAUUCAUGACUGGGGUGAAGUCGUAACAAGGUAGGCGUAGCGAG
rnacentral:rRNA from 1 species